GAUAGCUUAGUUGGUUAGAACAUGGUGCUGGUAACGCCAAGGUUGCAGGUUUGAUCCUGCAAAUUCCUGCAAUGCA